CUCUUUGUUCUCAUGUAUUCCAUUCAUUCACUGUAUCCUCAUUCGUUUGUGAAUUUGUAUCGGUGUUCGUUUAAGACUUCUUCAAGUUUGUGCUCUUAUCUAUAUUCAAUCUUUCAAGAAGAAUAAGUGGUAUGCUAAAUCCGUUGUUUGUCAUCAAUUUAACUUGAUGAAUGAUACACAUAACAUAAUUCUUAUUCUUGUGUCAUCAAGGUGAUUUCAAUUCUUCUUCCCGAGUUGUUCGGGAUAUCAAUUCUUUAUUUUAGGUUGUUCAUCUUUUCUUUCAGGAGUUUCAAGUUUUUCUUGUGGAGAGCAUAAAAUUAUUGC
rnacentral:lncRNA from 1 species